rnacentral:lncRNA from 1 species
UGAUCAAGUUUCCUGCGCACCCAUUUCCCAGAAUCGCACUAAAACAACUCAGACGCGGAUAAUCGUGGAGGAUCUCGAUCCAGAUGAAGAUCUAUGGCUCAGAAUGCAGGAUGAAGCUCGCUCGGAUAUUGAUGAAGAACCCACCUUGUCAGAUUACUAUUACACUUCGAUUCUGUCGCAUGCUUCUCUGGAAAGUGCUUUAGCCCACCAUCUGUCUGUGAAAUUAAGCAAUCCUAGCCUCUCCUGUGCGACCCUAGUGGAUAUUUUCAUGGGGGUGUUCGCACAGGAUCAGGAAGUGGUCGGGGCCGUGAAGGAUGAUCUGAGGGCGGUGAAGGAGCGGGACCCGGCGUGCGUG